ensembl:lncRNA
UUCCCUGAUAGAGUCAGCUUCCUGGAAAUACUUGGAUCCUGAAAAGGAAAUCAGGGGCUGUUGGAAAGGGGGAAAUGGAGAAAUGAGAUAGUCAACCGACGUCCCGUACAUGUAUCCCUUUAGGUGCCGAAAUUAGUUAACCGUGUGAUGGAGAACUUACUGCCUGCCUCCUAAGAUAACUGGACUCCAUGCUGUGGCUGGAAGGGAUGGGCUCUGGAAUGAUGAGAGGAGAUGAUGGAGGGAUAAACCCGCAGUUCUCAAUGUUUCCUGUCUUACCCUUCCGCAAGUGCUCUGCAAUCAAAACAAGAAAACAGACUCUUCCAAUGGCAUUUAUCCUGACUGAUACCAGAGGAACUGUUACUGAAUCCUUAUGUCUUACCUUUACUUCCGUGGGUUCCUGUUGCUAUCCAGGCCACCGGGGGGUAGUCAAGUCUCUCCAGGGCCUGGAGAUGUAAGAUUGUGGAUGACUCCUGGAAGCCUCAAAGGAGCAGCCGUGCCCAAAACACCACUUUUCUCAGAGGUACCUUGCCAUGGCCAGUAGCAUCUUGCAAGAUGGUGUUGGGCAAGUCCUACUCAAGUAUGGUCCAUGAUUGGAAACCUCCUAAACCCAGUGAGCCACUAAUUUGCUCUGUGAUCUUGGGCAAAUCAAGUUCAAUCUCAACGUUUCCAUCUGUUUGUUAAAGAGCAGAAAGGGCAGUCCAAUGGUUAGGACUCCGAGCUUCCACUGCAGGGGGCGUGGGUUUGCUCCCUGGUCCCACAAGCUGGGUGGCAUGGCAGAAAC